GGAAAUUUUGGAGGAGAUGGAAUUUGUGAGGGCGUUAUAGACUUUAAGGGAAAAACUGGAUAGAAUAUAUCCAAAGACAACUCCACUGUAAGAUCUAGACUUUAUUAUUUCUGUGAUUGAAACUCACCGCUCUCUAAAUAUUAUAAAUGGCUUCCAUCUGUUUCAUUAUAAAAUACAUGCAAAAUAAUGUCCUCGGGUGAGGAUAUAGAAAACAAAAUCUCAAUAAGAUGCAACUGUAUACUCAUUGGAGUGGUUAGAAUUAAAGAGUCUGGUGAUAGCAACGGUUGGUGAAGACAUGGAGCAACGUGAGCACUCCAAACUACUGGUGGGAGUGUAAGUUGGUUGAGCUGGUUUUGAACAUUGUUGGGUGUUAGUUUGUCAAGUUGAAGGAGAACAUUUUCCAUGACUCAACCAUUCCAUGCCAAAAUAUAUACCAUCCAGAAUGUUCUUACUGGCAUUCAUAAAAGUUCU